UAGGGAAUUUUCGGCAAUGGGGGAAACCCUGACCGAGCAAUGCCGCGUGAACUAUGAAGGUCUUCGGAUCGUAAGGUUCUGUUAUUGGGAAAGAAAUGCAUAAUUAGGAAAUGAGUUAUGCUUGACGGUACCUGAUGAGAAAGCCCCGGCUAACUAUGUGCCAGCAGCCGCGGUAAU
rnacentral:rRNA from 1 species